rnacentral:rRNA from 1 species
GGGUUGUGAGGUUAAGCGACUAAGCGUACACGGUGGAUGCCCUGGCAGUCAGAGGCGAUGAAGGGCGUGCUAAUCUGCGAUAAGCGCCGGUAAGGUGAUAUGAACCGUUAUAACCGGCGAUACCCGAAUGGGGAAACCCAGUGUGAUUCGUCACACUAUCAUUAACUGAAUCCAUAGGUUAAUGAGGCGAACCGGGGGAACUGAAACAUCUAAGUACCCCGAGGAAAAGAAAUCAACCGAGAUUCCCCCAGUAGCGGCGAGCGAACGGGGAGGAGCCCAGAGCCUGAAUCAGCAUGUGUGUUAGUGGAAGCGUCUGGAAAGGCGCGCGAUACAGGGUGACAGCCCCGUACACAAAAGCGCAUGUGCUGUGAGCUCGAUGAGUAGGGCGGGACACGUGGUAUCCUGUCUGAAUAUGGGGGGACCAUCCUCCAAGGCUAAAUACUCCUGACUGACCGAUAGUGAACCAGUACCGUGAGGGAAAGGCGAAAAGAACCCCGGCGAGGGGAGUGAAAAAGAACCUGAAACCGUGUACGUACAAGCAGUGGGAGCACCCUUUCGGGUGUGACUGCGUACCUUUUGUAUAAUGGGUCAGCGACUUAUAUUCUGUAGCAAGGUUAACCGUAUAGGGGAGCCGGAGGGAAACCGAGUCUUAACCGGGCGUUAAGUUGCAGGGUAUAGACCCGAAACCCGGUGAUCUAGCCAUGGGCAGGUUGAAGGUUGGGUAACACUAACUGGAGGACCGAACCGACUAAUGUUGAAAAAUUAGCGGAUGACCUGUGGCUGGGGGUGAAAGGCCAAUCAAACCGGGAGAUAGCUGGUUCUCCCCGAAAGCUAUUUAGGUAGCGCCUCGUGAAUUCAUCUCCGGGGGUAGAGCACUGUUUCGGCUAGGGGGCCAUCCCGGCUUACCAACCCGAUGCAAACUGCGAAUACCGGAGAAUGUUAUCACGGGAGACACACGGCGGGUGCUAACGUCCGUCGUGAAGAGGGAAACAACCCAGACCGCCAGCUAAGGUCCCAAAGUCAUGGUUAAGUGGGAAACGAUGUGGGAAGGCACAGACAGCCAGGAUGUUGGCUUAGAAGCAGCCAUCAUUUAAAGAAAGCGUAAUAGCUCACUGGUCGAGUCGGCCUGCGCGGAAGAUGUAACGGGGCUAAACCAUGCACCGAAGCUGCGGCAGCGACACUCAGGUGUUGUUGGGUAGGGGAGCGUUCUGUAAGCCUGCGAAGGUGUGUCGUGAGGCAUGCUGGAGGUAUCAGAAGUGCGAAUGCUGACAUAAGUAACGAUAAAGCGGGUGAAAAGCCCGCUCGCCGGAAGACCAAGGGUUCCUGUCCAACGUUAAUCGGGGCAGGGUGAGUCGACCCCUAAGGCGAGGCCGAAAGGCGUAGUCGAUGGGAAACGGGUUAAUAUUCCCGUACUUGGUGUUACUGCGAAGGGGGGACGGAGAAGGCUAUGUUGGCCGGGCGACGGUUGUCCCGGUUUAAGCGUGUAGGCUGGUUUUCCAGGCAAAUCCGGAAAAUCAAGGCUGAGGCGUGACGACGAGGCACUACGGUGCUGAAGCAACAAAUGCCCUGCUUCCAGGAAAAGCCUCUAAGCAUCAGGUAACAUCAAAUCGUACCCCAAACCGACACAGGUGGUCAGGUAGAGAAUACCAAGGCGCUUGAGAGAACUCGGGUGAAGGAACUAGGCAAAAUGGUGCCGUAACUUCGGGAGAAGGCACGCUGACACGUAGGUGAAGUGAUUUACUCAUGGAGCUGAAGUCAGUCGAAGAUACCAGCUGGCUGCAACUGUUUAUUAAAAACACAGCACUGUGCAAACACGAAAGUGGACGUAUACGGUGUGACGCCUGCCCGGUGCCGGAAGGUUAAUUGAUGGGGUCAGCGCAAGCGAAGCUCCUGAUCGAAGCCCCGGUAAACGGCGGCCGUAACUAUAACGGUCCUAAGGUAGCGAAAUUCCUUGUCGGGUAAGUUCCGACCUGCACGAAUGGCGUAAUGAUGGCCAGGCUGUCUCCACCCGAGACUCAGUGAAAUUGAACUCGCUGUGAAGAUGCAGUGUACCCGCGGCAAGACGGAAAGACCCCGUGAACCUUUACUAUAGCUUGACACUGAACAUUGAGCCUUGAUGUGUAGGAUAGGUGGGAGGCUUUGAAGCGUGGACGCCAGUCUGCGUGGAGCCGACCUUGAAAUACCACCCUUUAAUGUUUGAUGUUCUAACGUGGACCCGUAAUCCGGGUUGCGGACAGUGUCUGGUGGGUAGUUUGACUGGGGCGGUCUCCUCCUAAAGAGUAACGGAGGAGCACGAAGGUUGGCUAAUCCUGGUCGGACAUCAGGAGGUUAGUGCAAUGGCAUAAGCCAGCUUGACUGCGAGCGUGACGGCGCGAGCAGGUGCGAAAGCAGGUCAUAGUGAUCCGGUGGUUCUGAAUGGAAGGGCCAUCGCUCAACGGAUAAAAGGUACUCCGGGGAUAACAGGCUGAUACCGCCCAAGAGUUCAUAUCGACGGCGGUGUUUGGCACCUCGAUGUCGGCUCAUCACAUCCUGGGGCUGAAGUAGGUCCCAAGGGUAUGGCUGUUCGCCAUUUAAAGUGGUACGCGAGCUGGGUUUAGAACGUCGUGAGACAGUUCGGUCCCUAUCUGCCGUGGGCGCUGGAGAACUGAGGGGGGCUGCUCCUAGUACGAGAGGACCGGAGUGGACGCAUCACUGGUGUUCGGGUUGUCAUGCCAAUGGCACUGCCCGGUAGCUAAAUGCGGAAGAGAUAAGUGCUGAAAGCAUCUAAGCACGAAACUUGCCCCGAGAUGAGUUCUCCCUGAGACUUAGAGUCUCCUGAAGGAACGUUGAAGACGACGACGUUGAUAGGCCGGGUGUGUAAGCGCAGCGAUGCGUUGAGCUAACCGGUACUAAUGAACCGUGAGGCUUAACCUUACAACGCCGAAG